rnacentral:rRNA from 1 species
GACGAACGCUGGCGGCGUGCUUAACACAUGCAAGUCGAACGGGAUUUAGUAGACAGAAGCCUCGGCUAAAGAUUACUAAUGAGAGUGGCGAACGGGUGAGUAACGCGUGAGCAACCUGCCUAUGACAGUGGGAUAGCCUCGGGAAACCGGGAUUAAUACCGCAUAAAAUCGUAGAAACACAUGUUUCAACGGUCAAAGAUUUAUCGGUCAUAGAUGGGCUCGCGUCUGAUUAGCUAGUUGGUGAGAUAACAGCCCACCAAGGCGACGAUCAGUAGCCGGUAUGAGAGGAUGAACGGCCACAUUGGAACUGAGACACGGUCCAAACUCCUACGGGAGGCAGCAGUGGGGAAUAUUGCACAAUGGGGGAAACCCUGAUGCAGCGACGCCGCGUGAACGAAGAAGGUAUUCGUAUCGUAAAGUUCUGUCCUAUGGGAAGAUAAUGACAGUACCAUAGAAGAAAGCUCCGGCUAAAUACGUG